GGGUCACAUAGCUAGUGUCUAAGAUCAUAAUAGAACUCUAGUCUUAACUCCAAAUCCAGUGCUCUAACCACUGCAUCACAACAGUGAAUAGUAUUUGUAUAUGUGUGUAUUCUCUAUGCGUAUUUAUGUAUACACCCAUAGCACUUUAAGGUUUGCAAAGCGAUGAACAUGUCUACACUUGAUACAACAAUACAAGGAGAUUAUCUCCAUUUUAAAGAUAAGGUAACCAAGACAGAGAGGUUGGGGUCUUGCCCAAAGUCACACAGCUAUUAAGUGAGCCCUUGUGAUGCAGUAAGCAAAUAAAACCUGCCCGCAAGCCCCUGCUAUCUGCCAGGUUUCUUACUACAGAGUAGUCCUCUCCAGUCUAAUGCCGCCCUUUCCCCCCCGCGUGUGCUGCAGCUCCGGGGUUAAAUCUUUCCCGGUGCAAAUAAAGAACCAGCCAUGGAAAAUUCUUGGACUAUGGGUACAAAGGAGGAGUCCCUAUCAAGGUGAGGAAAUAGUACCUGAGAGGGAUGAAGACUUGCUCUAAGUCACAGUUAGUGACAGACAUCAGACUAGAACUCAGAUCAUCUGACUUGCUUCCGCAAUGACCAGAAGACCAAGGGCCACCAUCUCCAUUUUCCAGCUAAGGGAGAGCUCUGGCUGGAAACAGAUAGAAGCUAAGGGAAACUGAAGGAGGCUGAAUCAUUCAUUUCUACUUCUUUCUUCUCAUUCCUAUAGCAAUACAUCAGGACUAGGAGGAUGAAGGACUUGAAAAUUGAUAAAUGCCUAAGAGGACUACAAAUCAAAUCUUAUGAGAGUUCUGAGAAAGGGAAGAAAAUGUUCUAUAGGUUCAUCUUAUACCUCCUCCUUUUAUGGCAUUCCUAAUGUCACAUUCUCCAAACUAGGUCCUUCAACAUAUAGAUUCAAUUAAAAAAAACAAACCCUUACCUUCCUUCUUGGAAUCAAUACAAUGCAGAAGAGUGGUAAGGGCUAGGCAAUGUGGGUUAAGUGACUUGCGCAGGGUCACACAGCUGGGAAGUGUCUAAGGCCAGAUUUGAACCCCAGACCUCCCAUCUCUAGGCCUGGCUCUCAAUCCACUGAUCUGUCCAGCUGCUCCCUAGAUGCAAUUUUAAUAAUAAUUUUCUGCCAUUUUGUGAUCCAUAUUCUCUCCUUCCUUCCCCUCCUCUUCCCUCUCCUUAAGGUAGCAGGUAAUAUGACAUAAGUUAUAUAUGUACUAUCAUGUAAUAUGUGUUUCCAUGUCUGCCAUGUUGUGAAAGAAGAUACAUAUAUAUCACUUAUACUAGGGGGAAAAAACCUCAUGAAAGAAAUGAAAUAAAAAAU
rnacentral:lncRNA from 1 species